UACAGAGGUCUCAAGCGUUGUUCGGAUUCAUUGGGCGUAAAGGGUGCGUAGGCGGCGCGGUAAGUCGGGUGUGAAAUCUUGGAGCUUAACUCCGAAACUGCAUUCGAUACUGCGGUGCUUUGAGGACUGGAGAGGAGACUGGAAUUCAUGGUGUAGCAGUGAAAUGCGUAGAGAUCAUGAGGAAGACCAGUGGCGAAGGCAGCUCGCUGGGACGUUACUGACGCUGAGACGCGAAAGCGUGGGGGAGCAAACAGG
rnacentral:rRNA from 1 species